UGGCGGCAGGCCUAACACAUGCAAGUCGAGCGGAUGAAAGGAGCUUGCUCCUGGAUUUAGCGGCGGACGGGUGAGUAAAGCCUAGGAAUCUGCCUGGUAGUGGGGGACAACGACUCGAAAGGGUCGCUAAUACCGCAUACGUCCUACGGGAGAAAGUGGGGGAUCUUCGGACCUCACGCUAUCAGAUGAGCCUAGGUCGGAUUAGCUAGUAGGUGAGGUAAUGGCUCACCUAGGCGACGAUCCGUAACUGGUCUGAGAGGAUGAUCAGUCACACUGGAACUGAGACACGGUCCAGACUCCUACGGGAGGCAGCAGUGGGGAAUAUUGGACAAUGGGCGAAAGCCUGAUCCAGCCAUGCCGCGUGUGUGAAGAAGGUCUUCGGAUUGUAAAGCACUUUAAGUUGGGAGGAAGGGUUGUAGUUUAAUACGCUGCAACUUUGACGUUACCAACAGAAUAAGCACCGGCUAACUCUGUGCCAGCAGCCGCGGUAAUACAG
rnacentral:rRNA from 1 species